CCUACGGGAGGCAGCAGUGGGGAAUUUUGCGCAAUGGGCGAAAGCCUGACGCAGCGACGCCGCGUGAGGGAUUAAGGUCUUCGGAUCUUAAACCUCUGUUAGCAGGGAAGAACGGUCACUGUGCUAAUCAGCAGUGAAUUGACGGUACCUGCAAUGGAAGCACCGGCUAACUCCGUGCCAGCAGCCGCGGUAAUACGGCGGGUGCGAGCGGUAAUCGGAAUUACUGGGCGUAAAGCGCUCGUAGGCGGUAUGUCAAGUCAAGGGUGAAAUCCCCGAGCUCAACGUGGGAACUGCCUUUGAUACUGGCAGACUGGAGUGAGUGAGAGGAUAGUGGAAUUCCAGGUGUAGGAGUGAAAUCCGUAGAUAUCUGGAGGAACAUCAGUGGCGAAGGCGACUAUCUGGCACAUAACUGACGCUGAGGAGCGAAGGCGUGGGUAGCAAACAGGAUUAGAUACCCCAGUAGUC
rnacentral:rRNA from 1 species